AUUGAACGCUGGCGGCAGGCCUAACAUAUGCAAGUCGAGCGGCAGCGGGAAAGUAGCUUGCUACUUUUGCCGGCGAGCGGCGGACGGGUGAGUAAUGCCUGGGAAAUUGCCCAGUCGAGGGGGAUAACAGUUGGAAACGACUGCUAAUACCGCAUACGCCCUACGGGGGAAAGCAGGGGACCUUCGGGCCUUGCGCGAGUGGAUAUGCCCAGGUGGGAUUAGCUAGUUGGUGAGGUAAUGGCUCACCAAGGCGACGAUCCCUAGCUGGUCUGAGAGGAUGAUCAGCCACACUGGAACUGAGACACGGUCCAGACUCCUACGGGAGGCAGCAGUGGGGAAUAUUGCACAAUGGGGGAAACCCUGAUGCAGCCAUGCCGCGUGUGUGAAGAAGGCCUUCGGGUUGUAAAGCACUUUCAGCGAGGAGGAAAGGUUGAUGCCUAAUACGUAUCAACUGUGACGUUACUCGCAGAAGAAGCACUGGCUAACUCCGUGCCAGCCGCCGCGGUAA
rnacentral:rRNA from 1 species